GAUGGAGAUGGAAGCGCCGCCGCCGACCUCGUCCUGCCCACCCGCUCCGGAUCCAGCCCCAACGGCUACCCACCAGCUCCACUUUCCUUCUAUACCCGCCACCACGCCACGCACGCCACCUCGCCGAAGCCGUAUCCUGCAAGGACAAGCCUCCGUCUCCCGCGACUGCCUCUGGCCCGGCUAUAAAGGCGCGCCCUCUGGCCGGCCAGCUCCCCCUCUCUUCGCCGAGGCCACUCCUCCUCUCUUCGAGUCUUCGUCCGCGCCAUGCCUCUCGCCUCGAUUCGUCCUCGACUGGUGCCUCGCCUCCUCUCGCGUAUGGUUUCAUCUCGCCCAUCCUCGCUCGAUUCGUCCGUUCAGAUUAGAAGAAGCAGUUUUGGUUUUGCUCAUCUGCGGGUUCUUGAUUUAUUUGGUUCUGCUCGUCCUCGCUGUUGUUCGUUCAGAAAGCGUCUUGUUCUAUCGAUUCUUCUCGUCCUCGCUGUCGUUCGUCUAGGAAUUGCGUAGGAAUUGCGUCUGGUUCAUUCAAUUCUGCUCGUCGUCGCCGUCGUUCAUUUAGAAAUGGCGUCUGGUUCAUUCGAUUCUGCUCUGCUCGUCCUCGAUGUAGUCCGUUUAGAUCAGAAUCGCCUCUUUUUUGAUUUUGCUUGUCCUCGCCAUCGUCAGUUUAGACAAAAUCGCGUCUGAUUUGAUUCUGCGCGUUCUCGCCGUAGUCCGUUUGCAAUCGCGUUUGCUUUGAUUCUGCUCGGUCCCCUGUGUUGCUGCUGGGUUCGUUACGCUCAUGCUCUCGCGUGUUCUUCAUGCCAUCUCAUCGUGGGUAUCCGUGGAGGAAGUGAGCGGUCGGUCAGUCGGUUUGGGUCAUCUGGUUUGCGAACUAACAAGUCUGUUUGAGAAACUUCUGCGUCCUUCCUGCGUUUCGUGUUCGUGUCUGCUUUUGAAAUUGGAUUGCCGUUUAUCGCGCUCGUUCAGAUCGGUUCCUCUGUCACGUCACCUGCGUUGUUCGUCCGUUAUUUUCAUAUCUGAAAUGCAUGCGCCCUUUGAUACUACUGUACUUGAUGGAUGUUCAGAUCUCAAACGCUACCUUGUUCAGAUCGGUUCUUCUGAUUGAAAUAGGAUUGUUGCCCCUCUGUCGAUACUUAUUCUACUUGAUGGAUGUUCAGGGUGUUACUGCUUAUGUUCUUUUCAAUUGCUUAAUUCUUGUCAUGCUUUGCUUAUGUUCCCAUAUAUGGUUGUGUGUAUUCAGGGGUGCUUAGGCAGAAAGAUUUACUAGAGUGCGAACCAUGUAAUUCCUCAUGUUGCUGCUACUUCACAGUCACAGUGCUUGAAUUUCUUUAUAGCUUUAUCUGAAUCACCCUCACCGCUCUAGAGAAAUCAGUUUACUCAUUCAAGUUCUGGAAUGUCUUUAUAGCUUUCUCUGUUUGCUCCCCUAUCUAUGUUUGUUUCUUGUGUGCAAGCGCCGCUCCAUUCUGUGUGUGUGGCUUGAUGGUGAAUAUGUGUGGCUUGACUCUGUGUGUGUGUGGCUUGAUUGUGUGUUUGGCUUGACUGUAUGUGUGUGUGAAUGUGUGUGGCUUGAUGGUGAAUAUGUCUGGCUUGACUCUGUGUGUGUCUGUGUGUGCGACUGUGAGUGGCUUGACUCUGUGUGUGGCUCUGUGUGUGUGUACGACUGUGUGAAUAUUGCAUUUGCUUGAUGGUGUGGCUUUUGGCUUGUAUGCUUUGUUGAUUGAUUUGGUUGCAUAACUUGUGUUUUAUAUUGUUGCGGCACGAUUGGUUGCUGUUUGUUGAAUGUGAACUCGUAUCUUGACGAAUAAUCAUGUAUGCUAACUUGGUAUCGGUAGUUCCUGAUCAUAGGUAACACACCUAUUACCUUUUUAGUGUAGACUAACUAUUCUUUUUUCUAAACUUUUUUUGUGUUAUGUCUUUACAUUGCACUGCUCCCAGAUCCAUAUCGACAUGCCCACGCUGUCUGAUGAGGAUAAAGAUGUUAUGAAAAAAUAGGGUGCCCCAACCAAGAUUGACUUCCUCUCUCUUUCUUAUACAAGGCAUGCAGAAGAUGUGCUGCCAGCAUGGGAGUUCCUCUCAAAGUUAGGUGAACUUAGUCAAAAUCUGUUUUUUGCAAAAAAAUGAGAAUGUGGAGAGCUUGAACCAUUUUGAUUGGAUCCUGGAAGAAGCAGAUGGUAUAAUUCUGUCAAGAGGAAACCUUGGAAUUGAUCUUCCACCUGAAAAGGUGUUCUUAUUUCAGAAGUCUGCUCUGCACAAGUGCAACAUGGCUGAGGCAACUGAUGUGGCAAAUGCGGUGCUGGACGGAUAUGCUUCCCGCUAAAGCACCAGCAGCAGCCAAAAAGAUUGAAGAAUCCAAUGAAAGUUCUGAUUCUGAAAGCUCUGACUCUGAGAAGCCAGCUACUGAAGUGAUUCUGAUGAUUCAUCAGAUGAGGAUAUGGACACUAAAAAACCAGUAGCGAAGAAAGUGGUAGAAUCCAGUGAACGUUCUGAUUCUGACUCUGAGGAGGAUACCACUGCUAAACCAGUUCAAUCUUCCAAGGUUGUUGCUGUUAAAAAGAAUAAAGAAUCUAGUGAUAGCUCAGAUUUUGACUCGGAUUCAAAUUCCGAAGAAGUUCUCUGUUGUACUUGUUUACUCUUGGAUAGCACUGCUAAAACAGUUAAUGCAAAGAAAGAAGAAUCUAGUGGUAGCUCAGAUAAUGACUUGGAUUCAGAUUCUGAUGAAUGUUUUGCAGCCAGCAAAAUCUACUAUUCCUGCUAAGAGGCCUCUGACAACAGAGAAAAAGAGUAACAUUAUUUGCAGUCCAAGGAUGAUUCUGAUGAUAGUUCUGAUGAGAGUGAUGAAGAGCCUGCACUAAAGAAGCCUAAGGAUUCAUCUUCCAAGAAAGAAAGCUGUGGUGAUGAUGACAAUUCUGAAGAAGCUCCCGCAGUGAUGAUGAAAACGAUCAAUCGGUGUCAAUAGCAAAGUCCAAGUAGAACGAAGAACGAAGAUCUAAAUCACCCUCACCCCUCUAGAGAAAUCAGUUUACUCAUUCAAGUUCAAAAUUCUUUAUAGUUUUCUGAGUUUACUUGCAUGUUUCUUGUGUUUGUGCCCCUAUAGCUUUCUGUUUGUGCCCCUUUCUAUGUCUGUUUCUUGUGUGCAAGCGCUCCAUUCUGUGUGUGUGACUGUGUGACUUUUUUGCAUGUGUUGCUUGACUCUGUGUGUGUGUGUGGCUUGACUGUGUGUGACUUGAGGGUGAAUAUGUGUGUGGCUUGACUGUGUGUGUGCUUGACUCUUUGUGCGUGACUCUGUGUGUGUGUGUGUGUGACUGUGUGAAUAUUGCAUUUGCUUGAUGGUGUGGUUUGUAUGCUUUGUUGAAUGAUUGGUUGUGUAUAACUUGUGUUUUAUAUUGUUGUGGCCGAACACUGCCUUUGCCGGGUGUGUGGCUUGACUGUGUGUGACUUGAGGGUGAAUAUGUGUGUGGCUUGACUGUGUGUGUGUGUGUGUGCUUGACUCUCUGUGUGUGACUCUGUGUGUGUGUGUGUGUGACUGUGUGAAUAUUGCAUUUGCUUGAUGGUGUGGUUUGUAUGCUUUGUUGAAUGAUUAGUUGUGUAUAACUUGUGUUUUAUAUUGUUAUGGCCUAACACUGCCUUUGCCGGGUGUGUGGCUUGACUGUGUGUGACUUGAGAGUGAAUAUGUGUGUGGCUUGACUGUGUGUGUGUGUGUGCUUGACUCUCUGUGUGUGACUGUGUGUGUGUGUGUGACUGUGUGAAUAUUGCAUUUGCUUGAUGGUGUGGUUUGUAUGCUUUGUUGAAUGAUUGGUUGUGUAUAACUUGUGUUUUAUAUUGUUGUGGCCUAACACUGCCGUUGCCGGUCCCAAGCCCGGGUGUGAAAAUGUGGAGGGAGAUACAGUUACCUUCUUUGUAUUGUUUGCAUUACGAGUGUCGAUAGAAAUUACACAGUUUAGGUUACUGUCCUAAUCGAAUAGUGAAUCUUCACAUAAUUUGGUAGCAUGUGAUUCAAGCUUUAAAAUGCAUCCUUCCUUGCUAGUUGUACGAGGUCAGUGUUUUUCUUAUACGAUACCAAAGGAAAGUGAGUAGCUAAGAAUUUAGGCCUAUAAGGGUUUGAUUUUUUUACUUUUGUGCAUGAUUUUUUAGGUGGAGAGGUCUGCACGUACAACACGUUUUUGGAUGUUUUGGAGUCCACCGCUUUGACUGUCUCCUGAUGCUCUGACUGUUUCCAUCUUAGGUGAUGUGUGCUUUCUGUUUUUGAUUGUGUCUCCUUGUUUGCCACAUAUCAGUUUUGUAUGUCGGAUUGUUUGGGCCGAUUUUUCUGGGCUCUUCUCAUGGUACGAGUGUGUUCCUUUCUUUUUUCUUCUGCUGCCUAUAAAUAAGCUAUUCUGGAGGCCUUAUUUCUCGGUUUCUAGAUUCUUUGCUUUGGGUUCGUGAUAUGGGUUCUUGCAGUUCGGUGUGCUGAUCGGCUGCCUUCUUCGGUUUGUGCUUCUGGUCGAUCUGCUCCAAGUCGCUCCGAAUAUAUUCCUGGUGCUACUUCUGGCGGUGGAUCUUCUAGUCGAUCUGUUCUAAGUACCGCUCAAUAUCCUGGCAUGAGAUUCAAUGUGGGAAGCAUACUAUUUAUUUAUACAACCACGGUCCAUUGGCUGGAGUCGAGGAAAUUCUCAAGCAUAAAACGUCAUCUUCUUACUCAGCAUAUAAUUUUAAAGAUGAAGUCGAAGCGGCACGGAUGGCAGCAAUCAACAAGGAAAUUAAACGUGUGUUGACAGAAGUUCUUCUGAAGGUUUCUGAUGAUCUUUUUAAUGAGAUCGCAACCAAAGUUAUGAAUGAAGAUGAUUCAUCAGCUGAACCAAAUGAGAUCACUGGUGUCUCUAGCUCAAAGAAGCUUGGUCUGGGAGAAUCAGAAGUCAAGACCACAGCUGUACUGGUCGUUCUGAUGAUACCGGGCUAAGUUCUCCUAAAGGUGCUUUCUUGGUCUUGCUAAUUAUGAUUCAGAUGAUGAUGAUGGUAAGGGUUUAAUUCCAAAUUUAUCAUCUGAAAUUAAAGUUGGUGCAGCUCAUCCUAAAGAAAGUAAGUUCUUGAAAAACACAAAGCGGACAUGGUUUCCCAGAAUUUAUUUUCUAAAGAAGGAAGAGCUAAUUAUUAACUUUCUGAGUUUACUUCGGUCUUGCAUGUACUAGCUUUCUGUUUUUGCCCCUAUCUAUGUCUGUUUCUUUCCAUUUCUUGUGUGCACGUGCUCCAUUGUGUUUGUGUGUGUCUGACUAUGUGUGUGAUGUGCCCCUAACUCAGUUUCUGUCAGUUUCUUGUGUGCAAGUGCUACAUUGUGUGUGUGAUGUGCCCCUAUCUAUGCCUGUUUCUUGUGUGCAAGUGCUUGAUUGAGUGUGUGCUUGUGUGACUGUGUGUAUUGCAUUUGCUUGAUGGUGUGGCUUGUAUGCUUUGCUGAGUGAUUGGUGUGUUUUGUGUUGUUGUGGUUUAACAUUGCCUUUGCCGGUCCCAAGCCCGGAUGCGAAAAUGUGGAGGGAGCUGCAUUAUUGUUUGCCUUAGAAGUGUUGAUUGAAAUUACUCUCCUAAUCGAAUAGUGAAUCUUCACAUAAUGUCGUAGCAUGUGAUUCAAGCUCUGGAAUGCAUCCUUCCUUGCUAUGAAAAAUCUAGCAAGUGUAAUUGUCUAGAAUUUGUCCCAUCUCCUAAAUUAAUCUUGUUGGGUUCUUAAAUCUUGUCAGCACCAAUGUUCUUUUCUGCUAAUAUAUACACUUUUUUUCUAAAAAUCAGUCAUCUGUUUUUAAUUUGGCUUUAGGUUGAAUUUGUGGCUGUCUAAUCAUGCACGAAUCUCAGCGUCGUAGGUGUCCCUCAUUUUUCUGUCACUCACAAGUGCAUGUCUUGUUUAUUUGUUGUUGGGCUUUUUGUUUGGGUUGUGGGUUGCCCUCUCCUUGUUUAUUUGUUGUUGGCCUUUUUAUUCGGGUUGUGGGUCCUUUUCGGGGGGUGACCUGCUGAGAGUGUGUGUGUGAGGGG